UGGAGAGUUUGAUCCUGGCUCAGGACGAACGCUGGCGGCGUGCUUAACACAUGCAAGUCGAACGGAAAGGCCCCUUCGGGGGUACUCGAGUGGCGAACGGGUGAGUAACACGUGGGUGAUCUGCCCUGCACUUUGGGAUAAGCCUGGGAAACUGGGUCUAAUACCGAAUAGGACCGCAUGCUUCAUGGUGUGUGGUGGAAAGCUUUUGCGGUGUGGGAUGGGCCCGCGGCCUAUCAGCUUGUUGGUGGGGUAAUGGCCUACCAAGGCGACGACGGGUAGCCGGCCUGAGAGGGUGUCCGGCCACACUGGGACUGAGAUACGGCCCAGACUCCUACGGGAGGCAGCAGUGGGGAAUAUUGCACAAUGGGCGCAAGCCUGAUGCAGCGACGCCGCGUGGGGGAUGACGGCCUUCGGGUUGUAAACCUCUUUCAGUAUCGGCGAAGCUCCAGGAUUUUUCUUGGGGUGACGGUAGGUACAGAAGAAGCACCGGCCAACUACCGUGCCAGCAGCCGCGGUA
rnacentral:rRNA from 1 species